rnacentral:tRNA from 1 species
UCCCUGGUGGCUCAGUGGUUAAGCCUGUGCUUCCACUGCAAGAGGUGCGGGUUUGAUCCCUGCUCAGGGAA